rnacentral:rRNA from 1 species
AGCGAACGCUGGCGGCAGGCUUAACACAUGCAAGUCGAGCGGGCGUAGCAAUACGUCAGCGGCAGACGGGUGAGUAACGCGUGGGAACAUACCUUUUGGUUCGGAACAACACAGGGAAACUUGUGCUAAUACCGGAUAAGCCCUUACGGGGAAAGAUUUAUCGCCGAAAGAUUGGCCCGCGUCUGAUUAGCUAGUUGGUGAGGUAACGGCUCACCAAGGCGACGAUCAGUAGCUGGUCNGAGAGGAUGAUCAGCCACAUUGGGACUGAGACACGGCCCAAACUCCUACGGGAGGCAGCAGUGGGGAAUAUUGGACAAUGGGCGCAAGCCUGAUCCAGCCAUGCCGCGUGAGUGAUGAAGGCCCUA